rnacentral:rRNA from 1 species
AGGACGAACGCUGGCGGCGUGGCUUAACACAUGCAAGUCGAGCGGAAAGGCCCUUCGGGGUACUCGAGCGGCGAACGGGUGAGUAACACGUGAGCAACCUGCCCUUAGCUCUGGGAUAGCUCCGGGAAACCGGAAUUAAUACCGGAUACGACCUAGGCCGACAUCGGCCAUGGUGGAAAGUUUUUCGGCUAGGGAUGGACUCGCGGCCUAUCAGCUAGUUGGUGGGGUAAAGGCCUACCAAGGCGACGACGGGUAGCCGGCCUGAGAGGGCGACCGGCCACACUGGGACUGAGACACGGCCCAGACUCCUACGGGAGGCAGCAGUGGGGAAUCUUGCGCAAUGGGCGAAAGCCUGACGCAGCGACGCCGCGUGGGGGAUGAAGGCCUUCGGGUUGUAAACCCCUUUCAGCAGGGACGAAGCGAAAGUGACGGUACCUGCAGAGAAGCGCCGGCUAACUACGCGCCAGCAGCCGC